ACUCGAGUGGCGAACGGGUGAGUAACACGUGGGUGAUCUGCCCUGCACUUCGGGAUAAGCCUGGGAAACUGGGUCUAAUACCGGAUAGGAGCCAUCUUUAGUGUGGUGGUUGGAAAGUUUUUUCGGUGUAGGAUGAGCUUGCGGCCUAUCAGCUUGUUGGUGGGGUAAUGGCCUACCAAGGCGGCGACGGGUAGCCGGCCUGAGAGGGUGUACGGCCACAUUGGGACUGAGAUACGGCCCAG
rnacentral:rRNA from 1 species